rnacentral:rRNA from 1 species
AUUGAACGCUGGCGGCAUGCCUUACACAUGCAAGUCGAACGGCAGCACGGGUGCUUGCACCUGGUGGCGAGUGGCGAACGGGUGAGUAAUACAUCGGAACAUGUCCUGUAGUGGGGGAUAGCCCGGCGAAAGCCGGAUUAAUACCGCAUACGAUCUACGGAUGAAAGCGGGGGACCUUCGGGCCUCGCGCUAUAGGGUUGGCCGAUGGCUGAUUAGCUAGUUGGUGGGGUAAAGGCCUACCAAGGCGACGAUCAGUAGCUGGUCUGAGAGGACGACCAGCCACACUGGGACUGAGACACGGCCCAGACUCCUACGGGAGGCAGCAGUGGGGAAUUUUGGACAAUGGGCGAAAGCCUGAUCCAGCAAUGCCGCGUGUGUGAAGAAGGCCUUCGGGUUGUAAAGCACUUCUGUCCGGAAAGAAAUCCUUGGCCCUAAUACGGUCGGGGGAUGACGGUACCGGAAGAAUAAGCACCGGCUAACUACGUG